GAUUGCCUUGGAAUGAUCAAGGUGAAGGUAGUUAUCCGAGCUAGCAAAUUUUUUUAGGGCAAUGGCAGCUUCCUUAGAAAUAUCUGCUUCUCGCUCGUCAAGCAGUUUUACUAAUGGAGUAAUCAUCCUUGUCUCAGUAGCUCGAAAAGUCCUAGCCAAACUCCCAAUAGCUUUAACACAUGGAACAAGCAGAUCUGAAUCAGCUUGUUCAAUGAUUCUUAGCAAUUGAUCAACAACAGCUUUGCAGGCAGGGGAAUUAGGCUUGAAGGCUGACCUUCUCAACUCAGCGUCUACUUCCGCCACUGAUGUUAUUUCCAUUAUUGCCAUAGCAGAAUCAUACUGAACAUCCUCAGGUCCUUUCUCUAACAGUACUGCAAAACAAAGCAACGCUCUUGAUUCAGUGAUACUACGACAAAUGGGCGAAUUUCCCUUGGCAAGCUUCCAUAGUGCUCUUGCAGCCAUUGCCUUCAUA
rnacentral:misc_RNA from 1 species